rnacentral:rRNA from 1 species
GAUGAACGCUGGCGGCGUGCCUAAUACAUGCAAGUAGAACGCUGAAGCUUGGUGCUUGCACCGAGCGGAUGAGUUGCGAACGGGUGAGUAACGCGUAGGUAACCUACCUCUUAGCGGGGGAUAACUAUUGGAAACGAUAGCUAAUACCGCAUAAAAGUCGACAUUGCAUGAUGUUGACUUGAAAGGUGCAAAUGCAUCACUAAGAGAUGGACCUGCGUUGUAUUAGCUAGUUGGUGAGGUAACGGCUCACCAAGGCGACGAUACAUAGCCGACCUGAGAGGGUGAUCGGCCACACUGGGACUGAGACACGGCCCAGACUCCUACGGGAGGCAGCAGUAGGGAAUCUUCGGCAAUGGACGGAAGUCUGACCGAGCAACGCCGCGUGAGUGAAGAAGGUUUUCGGAUCGUAAAGCUCUGUUGUAAGAGAAGAACGAGUGUGAGAGUGGAAAGUUCACACUGUGACGGUAACUUACCAGAAAGGACGGCUAACUAC